CCUACGGGCGGCAGCAGUGAGGAAUAUUGGUCAAUGGACGCAAGUCUGAACCAGCCAUGCAGCGUGCAGGAUGACGGCUCUAUGAGUUGUAAACUGCUUUUGUACGAGGGUACACCCCGAUACGUGUAUCAGGUUAAAAGUAUCGUACGAAUACGGAACGGCUAACUCCGUACCAGCAGCCGCGGUACUACGGAGGAUCCGAGCGUUAGCCGGAUUGAUUGGGUUUAAAGGGUGCGUAGGCGUUUUGAUAAGUUAGAGGUGAAAUGUCGGGGCUCAACCCCGAAACUGCCUCUAAUACUGUUGGACUAGAGAAUAGUUGCGGUAGGCGGAAUGUAUGGUGUAGCGGUGAAAUGCUCAGAGAUCAUACAGAACACCGAUUGCGAAGGCAGCUUACCAAACUAUAUCUGACGUUGAGGCACGAAAGCGUGGGUAGCAAACAGGAUUAGAUACCCGGGUAGUC
rnacentral:rRNA from 1 species